GCUUGUAAGACCAUACCAAGAAGAAAUGGGGAGUGCUGGGCCACAAACCAAGAAGAAGGGGUUUUGCUGGACUGAAACCCAGAAGGAAGGCAGCUUGCUGGGAAGAAACCAAGAAGGAAGGUGGCAGGGUGGGCAGACAGCCAGAAGGAACGGGGCUUCCUAGGCCAAAACGGAGAAGGAAAGGGGCUUGCUGGGCAGAAAUCCAUAAAGCAGAGUUCUUGCUGGGCAGAAACCAAGAAGGAAGCGGGUUCACUGGGAAGAAACCCGGAUCGAAGAGGUCUUGCUGGGCCCAAAGCCAGAAAAAAUUGGACUUGCUAUGCUGAAAGGGUGAAGAAAAGGAGUUUGAAUUGCCAAACGUCAGAAGGAAUGUGGCUUUGUGGGCCCAAAGCCAUAAGGAAAGGUCCCUGUUGGGACAAAAUGAAUAAAGAAUGGGUUUUCUGCUCCCACACCCAGAAGGAAGAGGGCUUGUAAGGCCAUACCCAGAAGAGAGGGGGAGUGCUGGACAACAAACCAUAGGGAAGGAGUCUUGCGGGACUGAAAACCCUGAAAAAGGGGACUUUCUGGAGCGAAAUUCAGAAGGAAAGGGGUUUGCAGGGAAAAAAGCAGGAAGAAAGGGGCAUCCUGUGUCGAAACCCAGAAGGAAGGGGUCUUACUGGACUGAAACCCAGAUGCAAAGGAAACUGGCUUGCUGGGAAAAAAGGCAGGAAGAUUGGAACAUCCUGUGCCAAAACCCAGAAGAUAGGGGUCUUGCUGGUCCAUACCCAGAAAAAAUUGGGCAAGCUAGGCCACAAAGAAUAAAGAAGGGAUUUUGCAGGACUGAAAUGCAGAGGGAAGUGGACGUGCUGGUUAGAAAUCCACACACAAUAGACAUUGCUGGACAGAAACUAAGAAGUGGAUCUUGCUGGACAGAAACCUAGAAGUAAGGGGACUUCCUGGGGCUAAACUCAGAAGGAAGGGGAAAAAAGGCAGGAAGAUAGGGUCAUCCUGUGCGGAAACCCAGAAGGAAGUGGGCUUGCUGGUCCAUACCCAGAAAGAAGUGUGAGUGCUGGACAACAAAGCAUAAAGAAGGGGUUUUGCUGGACUGAAACGCAGAAGUAAGGGGUCUUGCUGGGCAGAAAAUCUGAGGAAAGAGAGAUUUCUGGGCCAAAACACAGAAGGAAGGGGCCUUCCUGUUGAAGGUUAUUUGUGGUCAGAAAUGUAAAUGGAAGUGGUUGAUUGCUGGGCCAAACCCAAGAGGGAAGACGGCUUGCUGGACUUAAAGGCAGAAGGAAUGGGCUUUCCAGUGCCCAAACCCAGUAAGAAAGCAGGCCUGUAGCUCCAUAUCCAGAAACAAUUGGGAGUGCUUUGCCACAAAGCAAAGGAAGUGGUCUAGCUGGACUUAAACGCAGGAGAAAGUCAACAUGCUGGGCAGAAGUCCACAAGCAAAGGCACUGCUGGACAGAAACCAAGAAGGAAUAGAUCUUGCUGGACUGAAACUCAGAUGGAAGGGUACUGGCUAGGAAAAAAGGCAAGAAGAAAUGGGCAUAAUGUGCCAAAACCCAGAAUGAAGGGGUCUUGUGGGUUCAUAUCCAGAAAAAAUCAGGUGUGCUGGGCCACAAAGCAAAAAGAAGGGGUCUUGUUGAACUGAAACGCAGAAAGAAGUGGAUAUGCUUGGCAGGAAUCUGCAAGCAAUUGACAUUGCUAGACAGAAACCAAAAGUAAUGGGUCUCGCUGCAAAGAAACCCGGAAGGAAGGGGACUUUCUAGGGCUAAACUCAGAUGGAAGAGCGUCUGCUGUGAAAAAAGGCAGGAAGAAAUGGGCAUCCUGUGUCUAAACUCCAUAUGGAAUGGUGCUUGCUGAUCUGUACCCAGAAGGAAGCAGGAGUGAGGGAGCACAAAGCAUAAAGGAGGCGUUUUGCUGGACUGAAAUGCAGAAGGAAGGGAAC
ensembl:lncRNA